rnacentral:siRNA from 1 species
UAGGAAGUCAAGACUCAUGAGUGA